UACGAAGGGGGCUAGCGUUGCUCGGAAUCACUGGGCGUAAAGGGUGCGUAGGCGGGUCUUUAAGUCAGGGGUGAAAUCCUGGAGCUCAACUCCAGAACUGCCUUUGAUACUGAAGAUCUUGAGUUCGGGAGAGGUGAGUGGAACUGCGAGUGUAGAGGUGAAAUUCGUAGAUAUUCGCAAGAACACCAGUGGCGAAAGCGGCUCACUGGCCCGAUACUGACGCUGAGGUGCGAAAGCGUGGGGAGCAAACAGG
rnacentral:rRNA from 1 species